UAAAAUACAUAAAGGAUAUUUAUAGUACAUGAGGAAACCCUAAAAUCAAAGCCCGAAGAAAAUAGGAGAAAACAGGGUUGGUGGCCACUUAUGGUCUCUACCUGUGCCCUGACCCUUGCCGCAGGUAGCACUUGCACCAAGUGCCAGAGACCAAAAAUCCUGUAGGUCAGCUAUCGGGAUUUUGGGCUUCUGGAAAUUUCUUUGCCCACAUGCGGUCCAUAUGUACUACUUGUGGUCCAUAUAUUGACUUAGAAAGUGCCGGGAGUAACCCUUUUAGCUUAUCUUCAAUUCCCAAAUAUGCUUUGAUCACAAAUAAGAUAGAAUAUGUCCCGAACAUCCAUAAUUUCUCUAAAAAGUUGUCAAAAACAUCCUUUUUAUCUUUUUC
rnacentral:lncRNA from 1 species